UACGGGGGGGGCAAGCGUUGUUCGGAAUUACUGGGCGUAAAGGGCUCGUAGGCGGCCAACUAAGUCAGACGUGAAAUCCCCAGGCUCAACCUGGGAACUGCGUCUGAUACUGGAUGGCUUGAAUUCGGGAGAGGGAUGCAGAAUUCCAGGUGUAGCGGUGAAAUGCGUAGAUAUCAAGUGGAACACCGGUGGCGAAGGCGAGUCCCUGGACAACACCUGACACUGAGGCACGAAAGCUAGGGGAGCAAACAGG
rnacentral:rRNA from 1 species